GGGCUUAACUGUCUCCCCCUUCCAGUCAGUGAAAUUGAUCUAUCCGUGCAGAAGCGGGUAUAAUACUACAAGACGAGAAGACCCUUUGGAGCUUAAGGUACAAAAUUCAGUCAUGUUAAGCAACUCCAUAGAAAGCAAGAACUUAGUGGCCAUGAAAUUUUACCUUCGGUUGGGGCGACCACGGAGGAAAAGCAAGCCUCCGAGUGGACUGGGCCAAAACCCCUAAAGCCAAGAGAAACAUCUCUAAGCCGCAGAACAUCUGACCAAUAAUGAUCCGGCUAAAAAGCCGAUCAACGGACCAAGUUACCCUAGGGAUAACAGCGCAAUCCUCUCCCAGAGCCCAUAUCGACGAGGGGGUUUACGACCUCGAUGUUGGAUCAGGACAUCCUGGUGGUGCAGCCGCUAUUAAGGGUUCGUUUGUUCAACGAUUAAAGUCCUACGUGAUCUGAGUUCAGACCGGAGCAAUCCAGGUCAGUUUCUAUCUGUAACGCUACUUUUCCCAGUACGAAAGGAUCGGAAAAGGGGGGCCUAUACCUAACGCAUGCCCCGCCCCUAAUUCAUGAAAACAAAUAAAUAAAAUAAGGGAGGGCCAAAACCCCUACCGCC
rnacentral:rRNA from 1 species